CUGCAGCCAGUUAAGCAGAAAAUUCCUUUGUGGUGGCAAUGUGGAGUGCAAAGCUGGAAGCAGCUGCCUCCUUGAGAAUAGGCUGCCUGUUGCUUAGGUGGUUGCCCUGAGGGACUUUGAAGGCAGUU
ensembl:snoRNA Gm23995 predicted gene, 23995